rnacentral:rRNA from 1 species
AACGAACGCUGGCGGCAGGCCUAACACAUGCAAGUCGAGCGAAGUCUUCGGACUUAGCGGCGGACGGGUGAGUAACGCGUGGGAACAUGCCCAAAGGUACGGAAUAGCCUCGGGAAACUGGGAGUAAUACCGUAUGUGCCCUUCGGGGGAAAGAUUUAUCGCCUUUGGAUUGGCCCGCGUUGGAUUAGGUAGUUGGUGGGGUAAUGGCCUACCAAGCCGACGAUCCAUAGCUGGUUUGAGAGGAUGAUCAGCCACACUGGGACUGAGACACGGCCCAGACUCCUACGGGAGGCAGCAGUGGGGAAUCUUAGACAAUGGGCGCAAGCCUGAUCUAGCCAUGCCGCGUGAUCGAUGAAGGCCUUAGGGUUGUAAAGAUCUUUCAGAUGGGAAGAUAAUGACGGUACCAUCAGAAGAAGCCCCGGCUAACUCCGUGCCAGCCGCCGC